GGAAGAGCUAAGUCUGGGCUGUGCACUGCCGCUUGUGCACAAACCCACACCCACCAGAUGAAGACAAACUGAGUCCCAGGGAAUUCUCAAGGCUGCCAGCUCGUGAGAGCCAAGAAUUGAACCGGAAUCUAGACACCGCACGACUCUAGGGUGCUCAGAAGAGAAGUUCUGGAAAGAGCAGCAGUCCACAAUGAAACCCACCAGGAAAAGGCUGAGGGAGGACCCCAACACAGAGAAGGAUACAGAAAAGCCUGCGAAGGCUUGAAUCCCAGAAGAAACACAAAGCCAAGCCUAUGACCUUCAUUUAAACCGUAGUGAUUUAUCACUCUGGGAAGGCGGUGGUGUAAGGAGAGAAGAGACUCCAAUAGGAGAUAGUCUAAGUAAGGAAGCCUCAGCCAUGCCUGUAGUCUGACUCGCCCAUGAGCCUCACACGGAGCACACAGGACCACUAAGGCACCCGAACAGAACAGGCUGUGGCAUCCAGGCAUGGCAACCUGAAGUCCAGCGUCCAUCACGUAUGCUCCUCCUCUUGAAGCUCAUUGGCUGAGGAAUGUUGCUGCUUUAAGCAACAGAUCAAUACCAGCCUAGAUCAUCUUAGGAUAGGUUGGAAGAAUAAGCCCAGGGACAGUUUCUGGUCAACCCAUAUCUUACCUAACAGCCCUAGCCAUGUAAUUGACAGUGUGCAGAUGGAUGGUGGGUGGAUGGAUGGAUGGGAUAGAUAGAUAGAUAGAUAGAUAGAUAGAUAGAUAGAUAGAUAGAUAGAUAGAUAGAUAGAUAGAUAGAUAGAUAGAUAGAUAAUAGAUAGCUCAUCUUCCACAAUUUUGUAGAGGCUGUGCUUCUCUUGCUAGCAACUUUCUUUCCUAUUCUCAGCCUCCCUUUCUCUAUCCCUCAACCCCCUUCCCAUUCCAUCACGGGAUGAGCUGUUCCAAGCAGAAUGGGAUAGGAAACUGCUCUUUUUCCUAUCAAAACAGGUUUCAGUGCAGCAGCCUCCGCCAAAAGCCAGACACGCAGGGCUCAGACCUGGUGCAGCCCUUGAGGGAAAUGUUAAAGCGGUAACUGGUGAACACAGCUUUCCUCUCUAGCCUCCUGUCCUCCCCAUGUCUGAUCUACCACCACUCAACAUGACUAGCUAACCCUCUCUUUGGGGCACAGUUUUCCUGAACUGAGCAAGUAGCAGCUGGAGAAGAAGGCACUUCUGAGGAACUUCCUGGAAAUUCAACCCCAAGGAUUGCCAAGAGCCUGUCAGAAUGAAGUCCAAAGGCACUUUCCACAAGACUCAGCUGUGGACACACACACACUUUGGCUGGAGUAACUCCUGGAGAACUCGGGAUAGCAGAUCUCCCACAGACAAGGCUCUACACAAACAGGUGAGUCUUACCUCAGGUGGCAAAGCCAACAAAGACCCGGAGAAAGCUCUACGCACCAGUGGAUCUUCCAAGACUGGGAAUUCCGGGCUUUCUGUAGAAGACAGUUACGACAAAAUUAAGAAUAUGCAGUUAAAGUAGAAUAUAAGUAUGUCCCAAUAUGUCCCAAAUAUUAUAUAGCCCACACUUGAGCCAAAAACCAGCAUUUACUAUUAAUCUGAAAUUUACCUUUAACUGGGCUACUUGUCGUUUAUUUGCUAAGCCAGAAACUCUUCUUUAGAACCACUUCAUUCUCUAGUCCUGUUGGAAACAGAAACAACCAAAAUAGGACAGUGGACUCAUCUUACCACUCGGGCCUUCCCUCCCACCUCUCUGAGCUCCCCACCUUGAAUCUUCAUACCUCCGUUCCUCUCAACUCCAUAGCUUCUCCUGAGGCCCGGGUGUAAUUCAGCACUUCUGUCCACGAACUCAGCUCUAGUGAAGUUAAUUUCUCUUUUCUUAACGUUUAUUUGCUUAUGCAUUUGUAUAUGUUGGAUAUUUUGUUCCCAUUCGUGUUUGCAUACCAGAAGAGGGCAUCGGAUUCCACAGGACUUACAUGAGAAUACAGUUACAGCUGCUAAUGAGCCUCCACGUGGGCGCUGGGAAUUGAACUCGCCACCUGAAGAAGAACAAACUGUAAUUUUAACCACCGAGCCAUCUCUCCAGCCCCGUGGUUAAAUUUUUCAAAAGAAACUUUUUUCUUUUUGUUUUAGAGAACUAAAGGCACACACAAAUAUUUGGAUUCAUAUAAAAAAAAUACAAGCACAGUUUCAAUCACAUGUAAGGAGAUUGAAUAUCAAAGCCCCAAGACCAGAUCUAUAAGUGUGUGGCAAUAUUUUUAAGCCUGUGACCCUUUAAUGAAGCUGGACUAACAUUUUCAACAGAGGCUGUAGCUGGCAACAUAUUUGAAUCUUCUAGAAAUAUUUUUGCUGCCAUCCCAGACCAAUUAAAUCAGACUUUCUAAGAGCAGGGGUCAAGUGUCAGGCUAUUUAAAGACUCCCCAGGUAAUUCUAAUAUGGAGCCUGUACUCGGUAUCUAUACACAUUGGAGUCACCUGAAAAACAUACACACACACACACACACACACACACAUACAUAUACAUUAGCCAUCCUUAGCAAUCCUGAAUUCAUUGGUAUGAGAUUGUGGCCUGGACAUUUGGGGCCUUUUAAAGCUUUCCAGGUGAUUUUAAUAUGUCACAAAGUUUGAGAGGCACAGUUCCUCACACUUUAAUAUGUUUCUGCUCUCCCAGGGAUCCUGCUAAAAUGCAGAUGGUGAGUCAGUAAGUCCAGGGUAGGGACGGAGAGUCUGCCUACUUAACAAGUCUCAGGUGAGACCCACGCUGCCAGCGCUCCGAACUCACUCUGACUGUGGCAAUCCUACAUCAGAAGAUCCCAAGGCUAGGAGCUGGAUGUCUGCCGGAAUUACCUGGGGAGCCUUAAAAAAGAAAUCUGCCUUGGGCUGGGACUACUCCAGUCACCCUAAAGAUGCUGACAUAACUGAAGGGGCCCCCAGACAUCAGCAUCAUAAAAGCUCUCCAGGUGGUUCUAUUGCCACAGCCAAAGUUGAGACCCUCUGCUAUAAUGGCCAAUACUCAGGAGUCAUUUUACAAGUGGCCUUGUCACACACACACACACACACACACACACACACACACACACACCAGUGGGGAAUAUCACUCUCCACAAGCCCUCCUGACUCACCUCUGCUGCCUACCCCUUCCCCAAACCCCUCACCCUCCUCCCAGCUCCCCUCCCCCCUCCUCCCAUACUUCCUCCUCCCUUCCCUCUCCACCCUGCCUUGGAAGGCCAUGGUCUCCAGUAAACAUUCCCUUUCUCCCAUUUUGGGCUGAACAAAGUCUGCAAUUCUUGGUCACAUUACAGAAGAGAGAUGAUUGCCACAGUAACUCCAUGAGUAGCCAUGAGUAGCCAUGAGUAGCCAUGAGUGGCCAUGAGUAGCCAAGAAUAGCCAUGAGUGGCCAUGAGUAGCCAUGAGUGGCCAUGAGUGGCCAUGAGUAGCCAAGAAUAGCCAUGAGUAGCCAUGAGUAGCCAUGAGUAGCUAUGAGUGGCCAUGAGUAGCCAAGAAUAGCCAUGAGUAGCCAUGAGUGGCCAUGAGUAGCCAAGAAUAGCCAUGAGUGGCCAUGAGUAGCCAUGAGUGGCCAUGAAUAGCCAGCUGAACCAAGCUUGUCUUGUUUUGAUUACCAACCAUCCUUGCUCAAGCAGGCUUCUCUGAAGAUGCUCCUGCCAGAGGAGCCACCACUACAGAAAAGGAACUCCCUGCUUGACAGGACACCAUCAAUCAAUCAAAAAAAAAAAAAGGAAAACAAAAACAAAAAACCAAAAAACACUGAGAAUUUUCUCUAGUAAGCAUUUCUCAAGUCCUUUCACACACAGCCUCUCCUUCUGCCCCAUCCCUUUGAAAUGGAGUUGUCCUGUCACACAGGAUAAGAUGUGGCAUGCGGAGAACAAAAGGGAGAAUUUGGAAUUCAGAAAAUGAUUCCUCUACUUGAGGUGUAAGUUCCAUGAAAUUGCUCACGAGUCUUAUUUCCUAAGGAGCAGCCAUUGUCCUGGCAGCAGCGUUUAUCUUCUGACAGGGCAUGUAUCUUUUGUGGGAAGGUGGAUCUUGCUUGCGAAUCCACACCUGGGGUAAUAUAUGGAGUUUAUAUAAAAUAUGAACUCUAAUGUGCAGAAUUUGCAGGUCACUGAAGUGUCACAGGCUACUGAAAUGGGUCUGGAAUCAAUAAGGUCUGCAUCAAACUCCAUCGUAUUUAAUUUUCAUUGCUACCUGGAGAGAAGUCUUCCAUGGCUCUACAUGCAUGAAGUUAAACAGGAAAGCCUGUCUAAAGUGUGGAAACGAUACUUAAAUGGCCUGAAAAUAGGUUACAACAAAGUGCCCAGCCCAUCAAAGCAUUAUCGAUCAUUUUUCUUCCCAUAGUGGAGGUGACACCCACCCGGAAGAAAAAUCACACGUGAGCACGGGACAGAUCUGAAGGAGAACUAAGGACUUUCAGUAUACGCCAACAGGACUUCCCUCUGCGGUUAUCCCAGACUCUCUUCCUAGUGGAAAAAUCACAUCCUGAGCUUAUAUAAAAGCAAAAGCAGAGGGGGGAGGGGAGAGAGAGAGAGAGAGAGAGAGAGAGAGAGAGAGAGAGAGAGAGAGAGAGAGAGAGGGCAAAUGAAGCAAGGCCCUCCUCAAUCUGCAACCCUUUCUUCCCAACCCUCGGCCAAUGAGAUAAUAGGAGGUUCUGCUCAUGCAGCUGACACAGGGUGGGGGGCAGUCACCCACUCUGGGCACAUCCAGCCCACACUGACCUCUCCAACAUGGAAACAUUCCCCAGACCGACACUAAUGGAGGUGGGGGGCACAUCUGGCGUUUGGACUGUGUCCAGAUGGGAGUUGUGUUAGUCAAGUCAGCGUGAUAACCCUCUGAGGAGGCUGGGGAGGGGAGGGUGUACCACUCCUGAGAGCAAUCAACCAUCUUCAGUCUGUGUGUGAGACAUGAUCAUGCUGUAACCUGUGAGUCAUAGGAUAUAGACCACACACACACACACACACACACACACACACACACACACACACACACACGGGAAAAGAAAACUUGGUAGAGACAAAUAAAUUUGUGCAGAGCUCUACAACCAGUCAGUUUCUGAUUCAGUCUAAAGCCCAGGGCCUCCAGGCCCACAGCAGUUGCCUCCCACCAUCUCUAGACACUCUCAAAGUGUAGUGUAUUUACUUAAGAUAACAGCCAAGCUAAGGCGAUGAAAAGAAUCCAGCUGUUUCUGCUCUUCUGACUUCCUGUGAUUUGCAAAUGUAUGGGAUGAUUUUCCAGAUGAUUUGCAUCUCUCUCUCUCUCUCUCUCUCUCUCUCUCUCUCUCUCUCUCUCUCUCUCUCUCUCUCCCA